GUCCACGCCGUAAACGAUGGGUACUAGGUGCUUGGGGGAGCGACCCCCCGAGUGCCGGCGCUAACGCAUUAAGUACCCCGCCUGGGGAGUACGACCGCAAGGUUGAAACUCAAAGGAAUUGACGGGGGCCCGCACAAGCGGUGGAGCAUGUGGUUUAAUUCGACGCAACGCGAAGAACCUUACCCAGACUUGACAUGUAUGAGAAAGCCUCUGGAAACAGGGGCCCCUCUUCGGAGCUCAUGCACAGGUGCUGCAUGGCUGUCGU
rnacentral:rRNA from 1 species